GUUUUUGUUGCAUGCCAUAUAUGGCAUGCAACUUUCAUAUAGCUCUAAAUUUCAUGUCCUCGUGUUCAGUGUGCGUACCGGUCGCAAAUCACGUGGUAGAUUUGUAAAGUAUCAAUGUACGACAAAUACCGAGUUUUUCCGAGGAGCAUUUUCAUGCCGGGUUUUCGUCGAGAAACGCAAAGAAAUAUUGAUUAUUCGCCGAAAAUUUACAUAAUUGAGCGCCUUAGAACAAUAAAUCGAGGUAGGUAAAGCUUUACUGUUUUUAACUUACCUUAUAUUUUGUUAUUUGUUGUGAUUUUGCAGCCGUUGUACUCGCACUGAUUAUUUACAAUUAUCAGGUGUUUAUAUUUAUAUAUCGUCAAAGCCCAACGCUAUCAAAAUACUCGAUUUUUAUAUACUCAAACUGAAACGGAG